rnacentral:lncRNA from 1 species
CUUUUGCCCUUUUAGAAAAAUCUGUGAAAAUGAUUACUGAAAUGUAUACAUUUCUAAAGGUGUAAAAAAAUAAAAAUGAACAAAGAUGAUACCAAGGUUGUAGCAAGUCAAAAGGAUUAAUGGUUUCACAUUUCUCCUUAAAAACUAUGUCAAGCCAAUAUGUUUUUGAUGUUAUAUUGAUUUUUAUUUUAGUUAGAUCCUUUAUUUUUAGCUUAUUAGUCAUACUCAGACACCUCUUAAAUGCAAAAUCCUUAGAUGUGGGUGGCAGAGAGACAUAGCAGCUUGCUUAUUUUAAAUUUAAUCAUUUCCCCUCUCAGUUUGAGGUGAAUAGACAGAUAGUUGUGGACAUAUCAAGGAAGACUGUCAAAUCCAUUGUCUCUCAAAAUAGAUAAAAUCUAACUGAUCCAUUUUCUUUACCAUCCAGACAUUUCCCUAGAAAUUGAUGGUAAAUUACAUAUGUUAGAAGAUAAAAUUAGAUGAUUCUUAGAGUGAUUUUUUAUUCAUUUUGACAUUUUAAAAUUUAUUCCAAAGAGAUUUAUUCAGUGAUAGAAUAUGUAAAUUUUGAAGGCAUUGGACUUUCUUUCAGUUGAUUAUUUGUCUGACGGACUUUCCUAUGAAUCAUUAAUUAUAAUUUAACAUCAAUUAUUAGUGGGUUAGUGAAAUUCUUAAAUUGAAAUCUGUAUCACUGCACAGGGUUCAAAGAGGUAGUAGUACUAUUAAAUCAUGGUUAGAUGCAUUGAUCCUCGCAGUCACAGGUUUUAUUCUCC